rnacentral:rRNA from 1 species
AUUGAACGCUGGCGGCAGGCCUAACACAUGCAAGUCGAGCGGAUGACGGGAGCUUGCUCCUUGAUUCAGCGGCGGACGGGUGAGUAAUGCCUAGGAAUCUGCCUGGUAGUGGGGGACAACGUUUCGAAAGGAACGCUAAUACCGCAUACGUCCUACGGGAGAAAGCAGGGGACCUUCGGGCCUUGCGCUAUCAGAUGAGCCUAGGUCGGAUUAGCUAGUUGGUGGGGUAAUGGCUAACCAAGGCGACGAUCCGUAACUGGUCUGAGAGGAUGAGCAGUCACACUGGAACUGAGACACGGUCCAGACUCCUACGGGAGGCAGCAGUGGGGAAUAUUGGACAAUGGGCGAAAGCCUGAUCCAGCCACGCCGCGUGUGUGAAGAAGGUCUUCGGAUUGUAAAGCACUUUAAGUUGGGAGGAAGGGCAGUAAGUUAAUCCCUUGCUGUUUUGACGUUACCGACAGAAUAAGCACCGGCUAACUCUGUGCCAGCAGCCGCCGUAA